GAUAAAAAUAUUGAUUUAUUUUCAUAAAAGUACUGUCAGAGCGUUACACACUUCCAAAAACAACAAAAAUUCAAUAUCUUGUGUAUAAAACAAUAAUCUGUGAGACCGCAAACAUUCAUGUUUUUGCAGGUUUUUUUCUCUCUUAUAUCUGAAUCAAGCUCCUACACAAACAAAAGCACUUACAUGGUUUCUGAAGCACGAGAAAGAAACACUCAGACAAUUGUAUGUAGAAAAAAUAUGCAAACAUUGUUCUUUGUGCACAUUGUUGCAUAUAUCUUGUUGCAUAUGUGGACCAGCUUAAAAUUGGACCUGAAUUUAGUUACAUGUCAGGACUAAAUGCAGACUGAAGUUGUAACUUAUGCAAACAGAACCAUGUCACAUAAAAAUUUAAACCAAACUCAAUGCGAAAUGUGAAGCUAGCAAGGUGUUUCAAUACCUUAAAUUCUGCAAUAAACAUUUCAGCUCCAUCUCUUUAUUCUGACUUAAUCCAACAUGUAUGAGCAAAUAUUAUUCCUGACUGCUGUCUUACAACAUGAACUGUUUUGUGUGUGUGUGUGUGUGUGUGUGUGUGUGGAUAGCUUGUAGGUUGUUUAGAAACCAGCUCUUCUUCAAACUGUGAGAAAUAGCAAACAAAGUAAACCAAAGAGUAACACGGGGGUAAGUGAGUCCUACAGUAAAAAAAAAGCAAACCAGCUUGACGGGAUUUACAGGAAAUGAACCAUGUGUCUUAAGUUAAAGUCUGAGCCACUGAAAGAAAUCAAAAAACAACAUGGUUUAAGAGUUUAGACUUAUGGUCGUAUGAGGGUGAAGCUAAAAUCUGAAUCUGCUGCAGAGAAAACAUAAAUCUAAACUUUAGUUGUUCAAAUUAAUCCUCUUUGUGACAGUGGCUCACAUGCAAAA